UAGGGAAUCUUCCACAAUGGACGCAAGUCUGAUGGAGCAACGCCGCGUGAGUGAAGAAGGUCUUCGGAUCGUAAAGCUCUGUUGUUGGUGAAGAAGGAUAGAGGCAGUAACUGGUCUUUAUUUGACGGUAAUCAACCAGAAAGUCACGGCUAACUACGUGCCAGCAGCCGCGGUAAUACGUAGGUGGCAAGCGUUGUCCGGAUUUAUUGGGCGUAAAGCGAGCGCAGGCGGAAUGAUAAGUCUGAUGUGAAAGCCCACGGCUCAACCGUGGAACUGCAUCGGAAACUGUCAUUCUUGAGUGCAGAAGAGGAGAGUGGAACUCCAUGUGUAGCGGUGGAAUGCGUAGAUAUAUGGAAGAACACCAGUGGCGAAGGCGGCUCUCUGGUCUGCAAUUGACGCUGAGGCUCGAAAGCAUGGGUAGCGAACAGGAUUAGAUACCCUGGUAGUCCAUGCCGUAAACGAUGAGCGCUAGGUGUUGGGGACUUUCCGGUCCUCAGUGCCGCAGCAAACGCAUUAAGCGCUCCGCCUGGGGAGUACGACCGCAAGGUUGAA
rnacentral:rRNA from 1 species